rnacentral:rRNA from 1 species
AUUGAACGCUGGCGGCAGGCUUAACACAUGCAAGUCGAGCGGGGGAAGGUAGCUUGCUACCGGACCUAGCGGCGGACGGGUGAGUAAUGCUUAGGAAUCUGCCUAUUAGUGGGGGACAACAUCUCGAAAGGGAUGCUAAUACCGCAUACGUCCUACGGGAGAAAGCAGGGGAUCUUCGGACCUUGCGCUAAUGGAUGAGCCUAAGUCGGAUUAGCUAGUUGGUGGGGUAAAGGCCUACCAAGGCGACGAUCUGUAGCGGGUCUGAGAGGAUGAUCCGCCACACUGGGACUGAGACACGGCCCAGACUCCUACGGGAGGCAGCAGUGGGGAAUAUUGGACAAUGGGGGGAACCCUGAUCCAGCCAUGCCGCGUGUGUGAAGAAGGCCUUAUGGUUGUAAAGCACUUUAAGCGAGGAGGAGGCUACUCUAGUUAAUACCUAGGGAUAGUGGACGUUACUCGCAGAAUAAGCACCGGCUAACUCUGUGCCAGCCGCCGCCGUAA